ACUUAUGUUAUUUGCGUGUUUUUGACUUAGUUAGGGGUCUUUUAGUAAUUUUAUGUCUUUAUUUCGGUCUUUUAGUAAUCUUAUAUCUUUAUUUGCUUAUCCUAGGGGUAUUUUAGUAAUUUUAUGUCUUUAUGUGCUUAUUUAAGUGGGGUAAAGCCCUAAACACGAAUUUCAACUAUUGAUGAAUGAAAAGCAAACCCUUUGGUUGCCUC